rnacentral:lncRNA from 1 species
CAUUUCAUCCAGUCGCUACCCCUUCUUUCUCUCUCUGGUGAUUUUCAAUUUAGGGUUUCUUGCCUCCUGUGGUAUGAGCCAGAUCUCAUCGGAUCCAACAAUGGUGGUCGAGGCAAGUUCCAACAAUCCGAGAUUUCGUGAUUCCACUUGGCUGAGGUAUCUUCUCUGGCGGCGGCAGUGAAUGUGACAAGGGUGUAUGGGAGUUGCGUGUUUGGAGACUCGAUGAAAAUGGGUGGCACCGGCAUCAACAGCAGGCGGCGGCUAGGGUUCUGACCACGACCACCUGUUUUGGAGCUCAUUUUACAUUUGGGUACUGGUCUUGAAGAUUAUUCCAAGAUUUUGUUACGGAUCUGAUCUGGUAUGUUUGUGCAUCAUUCAUUGACCCAUUGUUUGUUGGCCCAGUUUCCGCUAAUACCAAAGCUCGUGAUGAUAUGUGUUGGGUUGAGCGACAGACAUGGAGGACGUAAAAAAAGCUAGAAAAUUUCUUGGGGUGGGUAAAACCCUAACAACGUCGACGAAGCUGAACGGAAAAACCCUAAUAAGGUUUUGACUUUGGUGAAAAAGGUAUAAUAUAAUUCUACAGAGGCGAUGAUUAGUAGUGUUUUGGAGUUUUGGUUUCUAAGAAAGAGAAUAGAAAGGUGAGAGGGCGAUCAAUAGACAUAUUUGGUUUCAGAUAGACCAGUAGAGCAGAGCAUUCGAUAAAUGGUAUAGUUGGGUGAAUGGAUUUAGGGGAGUGGGCCCUCAACUGCAGGGUGGAAGUGUCCAUACAUAAGGGUAUUGUAAUCUCGAAACAAAUGCUGGUUAUGUAAGGUUAACUAAAUUAUACAGCAGGAAUUACAAGAAUGCUAAACGGGCAGCGGUGCUGGGUCGAUUAAGGCACACGUUGUAUGUUCUGGUGACCCUUGAUACAUAUAUCCGGUUGUAGGUCAAGUUAUGGAUAAAUAUAUGAUUGAUAGUGAUGUUUCUGGAGAAAUAGGCGUUUUUCGGCGAAGGGUGUGAUCAGCAAGUUCAAAGUAACUAUGGUGAUGGUUUCAGGUGAUCAGCCAACAUCUCAGUCAAAACAGAUUAAACUCGGGCCAAAAAACGGUCAUCGGAAAGAUUUCACUUUUACGCGGACGACACGACUCGCCAAGUGGAAGCGCAUCACUACUGCGGCCAUCUGAACAAAGACAUGCGGCAAUCUCUGAUCUACGACCGGCCCGAUGCCGAUGCGCGGUUGAUCAUGCUGGAACUCUUCCGGACACCGAAAAACCGAUGUGGCAUAGCCACGAGUACGAGGUGAAGAGCGGCGUGCUCUUCCUUCCCGGUGUUCCCGGUCCGGUUGAACGAAAAGAUCUCGAGAAAGUGGCAAAACACGGGAAGACCAUACACUUUUAGCAGGUGGAUAGAGAUGAUGAACUGUCGCUCGGGUUACCGCAGGUGACGAUGGCGCUAACACGAGACGGGCAACUCUACCCGACGCGCUUUUGACAACAUAGUUUUUUUUAUUACGUCAAACUUAAAGUGGUUGAACACUUGAAUAAUCUUUUUAUAUAAUUUGUGUGCAGUAGGCUACCAUAUGCCUAAAGGGAGAAACAGUCUUUGUUAAUAAAGGGAGUUGGUGAACUUUUCAAAAUUCAGUUCAAGUUUUUCACUAGCCAGGAAGUUUGAAUUGAACGUAGGUAAAGAGGAUCAUUUUAGUGAUAGGGAUUGUUGCUGUGUCAUUGGGUGCUGAUUCAAAUGACCACCUUUGUACACCGGUGGAUGAUAUGGUUGAUGGUGGCAAAUCCGUAAAUAACGAGGCGCUAGGAACAAAGAUUGAUGCACAAACUUGCAACCCAACACCAUUGCUCACACCAUUCACGUCUAUUGUCGAUCGAGCUCUGUUUUUAUCGAUUUGGUGAUUCAGGCCCUAUAUGAAAUCCUAACAAAAUGCAUGGCAGCCAAAGGUAAUA